AACAGAUACCUUGACUUCUCAGAUGGGUGGGACCAUGACCAGAAGACCUUCAUCAAUGUAGAGACAAACUUUCUGACCUACAGAAAAUCUUUGCCCUGUUUCUACUUCAUGUACCCAUGAAAAGAAAAUGAAUAACAAGAAUGACAUUUGUGUCACCCAGGACAAUGGAAAGAAGGGAUGUUCCUGCUGUUUGUGGCUGCAUGGUUGGCCGAGAAUACUACUCAUGUUGGCCCUAGAAGUACUCCCUCUAUUUCCAUCUCCAUGUCCUCUCUUCAGGGCUUAUCAACUUCAGUUGCUUCAGAAAACAAAGUGAGGUAUCUUCUAGAAACCUCUUCUCAGAUAUGACAUUUAAAGAGUUGAGUUGCUGUUAUUUGUUUGAUAAAAUCAUAUGCAAAGAAUUUAACCUUUUUUGGGGGUAGAGAUACUCACUGUUUCCUUCCCAAGUGAAGGACAAUGCCAUUUUUUUUAUAUAUCAGGAGAACUAGAUUAUACUGACUUUAUGUUGCUGGAAUAAGUACCGAUAUGCACACACACUCACAUCCAUACACAUGUAUACAAGCCUUCCUAAAACUGUAUUAUAAGUGACUGUCUUCUUCAAUACUCUUCAGAGGCAC